CCACCAAUGCGCACGUUGUAGUAGGCACUGGCCAACUGAGUCUCAGAGUUCGUCAGCAUUUCAAACGGGUUUUGCGGUGCGGUAAAUCCUGGAGGUUGUGCCCUUGAGGCGUGGCUUCCGGAGCUAACGCGUUAAGUCGACCGCCUGGGGAGUACGGCCGCAAGGUUAAAACUCAAAUGAAUUGACGGGGGCCCGCACAAGCGGUGGAGCAUGUGGUUUAAUUCGAUGCAACGCGAAGAACCUUACCUGGUCUUGACAUCCACAGAACUUUCCAGAGAUGGAUUGGUGCCUUCGGGAACUGUGAGACAGGUGCUGCAUGGCUGUCGUCAGCUCGUGUUGUGAAAUGUUGGGUUAAGUCCCGCAACGAGCGCAACCCUUAUCCUUUGUUGCCAGCGGUUCGGCCGGGAACUCAAAGGAGACUGCCAGUGAUAAACUGGAGGAAGGUGGGGAUGACGUCAAGUCAUCAUGGCCCUUACGACCAGGGCUACACACGUGCUACAAUGGCGCAUACAAAGAGAAGCGACCUCGCGAGAGCAAGCGGACCUCAUAAAGUGCGUCGUAGUCCGGAUUGGAGUCUGCAACUCGACUCCAUGAAGUCGGAAUCGCUAGUAAUCGUGGAUCAGAAUGCCACGGUGAAUACGUUCCCGGGCCUUGUACACACCGCCCGUCACACCAUGGGAGUGGGUUGGAAAGUGGCAAUGUAAUCACGCGCCAGCACUGCAUCGGGCUUUUGUCCUGGCAGCAGCUGAAAAACGCCAUCAGCAAUAAAGAAGACGGCCA
rnacentral:rRNA from 1 species